rnacentral:rRNA from 1 species
AUGCAAGCAUCCCGCUCGCCCGCAUCUGCCUCUGCUUCGCGCCGCUCAUCCUUGGCGCCAUGGUCUCUCCGUGCGAGAACGACUACUUCCACUACCGUCGUUGCGAGAACGACUACUUCCACUACCGCCAUCGUGAGAACGUCUACUUACUCUACUUUGCACCGAACAAGAACUAUCCCGCUUGCACGCUUCAAAGGUAUAACCACCGGAACGAUGCCCGUGAACGAAUGCAUGUGCGAUGUAUGA